GACGAACGCUGGCGGCGUGCUUAACACAUGCAAGUCGAACGGAAGGGCCCUGCUUUUGUGGUGUGCUCGAGUGGCGAACGGGUGAGUAACACGUGAGUAACCGGCCCUUGACUUUGGGAUAACUUCAGGAAACUGGGGCUACUACAGGAUAGGAGAUCCUGCUGCAUGGUGGGGGGUGGAACGUUUCGGCGGUUGGGGAUGGACUCGCGGCUUAUCAGCUUGUUGGUGGGGUAGUGGAUUACCAAGGCUUUGACGGGUAGACGGCCUGUGAGGGUGACCGGCGGCAUAGGGACUGACGUGAGGCACAGACGCCUACUGGAGGCAGCAGUGGGGAAUAUUGCACAAGGGACGGAGCCCUGAUGCAGCAGCCCUGCGUGCUGUAUAACGGCCUUGUGGGGAAAAACCGGUUUCAGCUUUGACGAACCGUGUGUGGCGGGAAUGGGUAAAGAAACAACGGCUAACUACGUG
rnacentral:rRNA from 1 species